GAACGCUGGCGGCGUGCUUAACACAUGCAAGUCGAGUGCGCGUCUGUAGCAAUACAGAUGGCGCACGGCGCACGGGUGCGUAACACGUGGGUAAUCUGCCCUUCGAUGGGGAAUAACCUCGCGAAAGCGAGGCUAAUUCCGCAUAACAUUCCUAAGACUUCGGUCCCUGGAUUCAAAGCCGUAAGGCGUCGAUGGAGGAACCCGCGCACGAUUAGCUAGUUGGUGAGGUAACGGCUCACCAAGGCUAUGAUCGUUAGCUGGUCUGAGAGGAUGGCCAGCCACACUGGAACUGAGACACGGUCCAGACUCCUACGGGAGGCAGCAGUGGGGAAUCUUGCGCAAUGGGCGAAAGCCUGACGCAGCGACGCCGCGUG
rnacentral:rRNA from 1 species